rnacentral:rRNA from 1 species
AUUGAACGCUGGCGGCAUGCUUUACACAUGCAAGUCGAACGGUAACAGGUUAAGCUGACGAGUGGCGAACGGGUGAGUAAUGCAUCGGAACGUGCCCGAUCGUGGAGGAUAACGCAGCGAAAGCUGCGCUAAUACCGCAUACGAUCUGAGGAUGAAAGCGGGGGACCGUAAGGCCUCGCGCGAUCGGACGGGCCGAUGUCAGAUUAGGUAGUUGGUGGGGUAAAGGCUCACCAAGCCAACGAUCUGUAGCUGGUCUGAGAGGACGACCAGCCACACUGGGACUGAGACACGGCCCAGACUCCUACGGGAGGCAGCAGUGGGGAAUUUUGGACAAUGGGCGAAAGCCUGAUCCAGCAAUGCCGCGUGCAGGAAGAAGGCCUUCGGGUUGUAAACUGCUUUUGUACGGAGCGAAAAGGCCCUCUCUAAUACAGGGGGUUUAUGACGGUACCGUAAGAAUAAGCACCGGCUAACUACGUGCCAGCCGCCGCAGUAAUAC